CGGGGCUUAAAGUCUUGUAAUUGGAAUGAUGGGAAUUUAAACCUCUUCCAGAGUAUCAAUUGGAGGGCAAGUCUGGUGCCAGCAGCCGCGGUAAUUCCAGCUCCAAUAGCGUAUAUUAAAAUUGUUGCAGUUAAAAAGCUCGUAGUUGAAUUUCUGCUGCAUUGCUUGUGUCCCUCUUGGGUCUGUGCAUGUGGCUUUUUUCGGACGGAGUUUCUUUGUCUGAAUGCUUACUUUGAGAAAAUUAGAGUGCUCAAAGCAGGCUUUCGCCUUGAAUAGUUUAGCAUGGAAUAAUAAAGUAGGACUUUGGUUCUAUUUUGUUGGUUUUAGGUACCAAAGUAAUGGUUAAUAGGAACAGUUGGGGGCAUUCGUAUUUAACUGUCAGAGGUGAAAUUCUUAGAUUUGUUAAAGACGAACUACUGCGAAAGCAUUUGCCAAGGAUGUUUUCAUUAAUCAAGAAC
rnacentral:rRNA from 1 species